rnacentral:rRNA from 1 species
CAUGCAAGUCGAACGGUAACAGGCCGCAAGGUGCUGACGAGUGGCGGACGGGUGAGUAAUACGUAGGUAUCUGCCCUGUAGUGGGGGAUAACCCGGGGAAACUCGGGCUAAUACCGCAUACGCUCUUUUAUCGUUGAGAUAGGAGAGGAAAGCGAGGGACCGAAAGGCCUCGCGCUAGAGGAUGAGCUUACGCCCGAUUAGCUAGUUGGUAGGGUAAAGGCCUACCAAGGCGACGAUCGGUAGCUGGUCUGAGAGGAUGACCAGCCACACUGGGACUGAGACACGGCCCAGACUCCUACGGGAGGCAGCAGUGGGGAAUAUUGGACAAUGGGGGAAACCCUGAUCCAGCGAUGCCGCGUGGGUGAAGAAGGCCUGCGGGUUGUAAAGCCCUUUCAGUGGGGAAGAAAAACGGGGUGUGAAAAGCGCUUCGUCUUGACGUUACCUACAGAAGAAGCACCGGCUAACUCCGUGCCAGCAGCCGCGGUAAUACGGAGGGUGCGAGCGUUAAUCGGAAUUACUGGGCGUAAAGGGCGCGUAGGCGGUUCCUUAAGUCUGAUGUGAAAGCCCACGGCUCAACCGUGGAGGGUCAUUGGAAACUGGGGAACUUGAGUGCAGAAGAGGAGAGCGGAAUUCCACGUGUAGCGGUGAAAUGCGUAGAGAUGUGGAGGAACACCAGUGGCGAANGCGGCUCUCUGGUCUGUAACUGACGCUGA